rnacentral:rRNA from 1 species
CAACAGGGAUUGCCCUAGUAACGGCGAGUGAAGCGGCAACAGCUCAAAUUUGAAAUCUGACUCCCUCGGGUGUCCGAGUUGUAAUUUGCAGAGGGUGCUUUGGCGUUGACGGCGGUCUAAGUUCCUUGGAACAGGACAUCGCAGAGGGUGAGAAUCCCGUUUGUGGUCGCCAGCCUUCGCCGUGUAAAGCCCCUUCGACGAGUCGAGUUGUUUGGGAAUGCAGCUCUAAAUGGGAGGUAAAUUUCUUCUAAAGCUAAAUACCGGCCAGAGACCGAUAGCGCACAAGUAGAGUGAUCGAAAGAUGAAAAGCACUUUGGAAAGAGAGUCAAAAAGCACGUGAAAUUGUUGAAAGGGAAGCGCUUGCAGCCAGACUUGCCCGUAGUUGCUCACCCGGACUUUUGCCCGGGGCACUCUUCUGCGGGCAGGCCAGCGUCAGUUUGGGCGGUUGGAUAAAGGCCUCUGUCAUGUAUCUCCCUUCGGGGUGACCUUAUAGGGGAGGCGUAAUGCAGCCAGCCCGGACUGAGGUCCGCGCUUUUGCUAGGACGCUGGCGUAAUGGCCGUAAGCGGCCCGUCUUGAAACACGGACCAAGGAGUCUAACAUCUAUGCGAGUGUUUGGGUGUCAAGCCCGGGCGCGCAAUGAAAGUGAACGGAGGUGGGAACCUUUUAGGUGCACCAUCGACCGAUCCUGAAGUCUUCGGAUGGAUUUGAGUAAGAGCAUAGCUGUUGGGACCCGAAAGAUGGUGAACUAUGCUUGAAUAGGGUGAAGCCAGAGGAAACUCUGGUGGAGGCUCGCAGCGGUUCUGACGUGCAAAUCGAUCGUCAAAUUUGGGCAUAGGGGCGAAAGACUAAUCGAAC